UACGUAGGGUGCAAGCGUUAAUCGGAAUUACUGGGCGUAAAGCGUGCGCAGGCGGUUAUGUAAGCAGAUGUGAAAUGCCCGGGCUUAACCUGGGAACUGCAUUUGUGACUGCAUGGCUAGAGUUUGGCAGAGGGGGUAGAAUUCCACGUGAUAGCAGUGAAAUGCGUAGAUAUGUGGAGGAACACCGAUGGCGAAGGCAGCCCCUGGGUCAAGACUGACGCUCAUGCACGAAAGCGUG
rnacentral:rRNA from 1 species